CCUACGGGAGGCAGCAGUGGGGAAUAUUGGACAAUGGGGGCAACCCUGAUCCAGCCAUGCCGCGUGAGUGAUGAAGGCCUUCGGGUUGUAAAGCUCUUUUAGCGGGGAGGCGGUACCCGCAGAAUAAGCCCCGGCUAACUUCGUGCCAGCAGCCGCGGUAAGACGAAGGGGGCUAGCGUUGCUCGGAAUUACUGGGCGUAAAGCGCGUGUAGGCGGCUGUUCAAGUUGGGCGUGAAAGCCUUGGGCUUAACCCAAGAAAUGCGCUCAAUACUGGAUAGCUAGAGGACCGGAGAGGAUAGUGGAAUUCCCAGUGUAGUGGUGAAAUACGUAGAGAUUGGGAAGAACACCAGUGGCGAAGGCGGCUAUCUGGACGGUUCUGACGCUAAGACGCGAAAGCGUGGGGAGCAAACAGGAUUAGAUACCCUUGUAGUC
rnacentral:rRNA from 1 species